CCUACGGGUGGCAGCAGUGAGGAAUAUUGGUCAAUGGACGAGAGUCUGAACCAGCCAAGUAGCGUGAAGGAUGACUGCCCUAUGGGUUGUAAACUUCUUUUAUAUGGGAAUAAAAUGUUCCACGUGUGGGAUUUUGUAUGUACCAUAUGAAUAAGGAUCGGCUAACUACGUGCCAGCAGCCGCGGUAAUACGGAGGAUCCGAGCGUUAUACGGAUUUAUUGGGUUUAAAGGGAGCGUAGGUGGAUUGUUAAGUCAGUUGUGAAAGUUUGCGGCUCAACCGUAAAAUUGCAGUUGAAACUGGCAGUCUUGAGUACAGUAGAGGUGGGCGGAAUUCGUGGUGUAGCGGUGAAAUGCUUAGAUAUCACGAAGAACUCCGAUUGCGAAGGCAGUUCACUGGACUGCAACUGACACUGAGGCUCGAAAGUGUGGGUAUCAAACAGGAUUAGAUACCCCAGUAGUC
rnacentral:rRNA from 1 species